rnacentral:rRNA from 1 species
UGGGGAAUAUUGCACAAUGGUGGGAACUCUGAUGCAGCGACGCCGCGUGAACGAAGAAGGCUUUCGAGUCGUAAAGUUCUUUUAUAUGUGAAGAUAAUGACGGUACCAUAAGAAAAAGCCCCGGCUAACUACGUGCCAGCAGCCGCGGUAAUACGUAGGGGGCUAGCGUUGUCCGGAAUCACUGGGCGUAAAGGGUUCGCAGGCGGAAAUGCAAGUCAGGUGUAAAAGGCAGUAGCUUAACUACUGUAAGCAUUUGAAACUGCAUAUCUUGAGAAGAGUAGAGGUAAGUGGAAUUUUUAGUGUAGCGGUGAAAUGAGUAGAUAUUAAAAAGAAAACCGGUGGCGAAGGGGACUUACUGGGCUCAUUCUGACGCUGAGGAACGAAAGCGUGGGUAGAAAAAAGG